UUGCGUGGUGGGAGCCUGGCAUAGUGGGUUGUGCGCGAAGCUGCACAGAAGAAAUCAUAUCAGCGAGGUCGGUCACGGCGUUUAAUAUCCUUUCUUAAAGUAUUUUCGUAAGAUAAGUCAAAGACGACAACGAAUAGAGAAA
rnacentral:lncRNA from 1 species